GCCUAACACAUGCAAGUCGAACGGCAGCACAGGAGAGCUUGCUCUCUGGGUGGCGAGUGGCGGACGGGUGAGGAAUACAUCGGAAUCUACUCUGUCGUGGGGGAUAACGUAGGGAAACUUACGCUAAUACCGCAUACGACCUACGGGUGAAAGCAGGGGAUCUUCGGACCUUGCGCGAUUGAAUGAGCCGAUGUCGGAUUAGCUAGUUGGCGGGGUAAAGGCCCACCAAGGCGACGAUCCGUAGCUGGUCUGAGAGGAUGAUCAGCCACACUGGAACUGAGACACGGUCCAGACUCCUACGGGAGGCAGCAGUGGGGAAUAUUGGACAAUGGGCGCAAGCCUGAUCCAGCCAUACCGCGUGGGUGAAGAAGGCCUUCGGGUUGUAAAGCCCUUUUGUUGGGAAAGAAAUCCAGCUGGUUAAUACCCGGUUGGGAUGACGGUACCCAAAGAAUAAGCACCGGCUAACUUCGUGCCAGCAGCCGCGGUAAUACGAAGGGUGCAAGCGUUACUCGGAAUUACUGGGCGUAAAGCGUGCGUAGGUGGUUAUUUAAGUCCGUUGUGAAAGCCCUGGGCUCAACCUGGGAACUGCAGUGGAUACUGGAUGACUAGAAUGUGGUAGAGGGUAGCGGAAUUCCUGGUGUAGCAGUGAAAUGCGUAGAGAUCAGGAGGACAUCCAUGGCGA
rnacentral:rRNA from 1 species